GGCGAACGGCUGAGUAACACGUGGGCAACCUGCCCUUUGCACUGGGAUAGCCUCGGGAAACCGAGGUUAAUACCGGAUACUCCAUAUUUGUCGCAUGGCGAAUAUGGGAAAAGCUCCGGCGGCAAAGGAUGGGCCCGCGGCCUGUUAGCUAGUUGGUGGGGUAGUGGCCUACCAAGGCAAUGAUGGGUAGCCGGGUUGAGAGACCGACCGGCCAGAUUGGGACUGAGACACGGCCCAGACUCCUACGGGAGGCAGCAGUU
rnacentral:rRNA from 1 species